ensembl:snRNA U6 U6 spliceosomal RNA
GUGCUUGCUUCAGCAGCAUGUAUACUAAAGCUGAAAUGAGAAGAUUAGCAUGGCCUCUCCACCAGGAUGCCAUGAAAAUUCGUGAAACAUUUCUGUCUUUC